AAAUAGCACCUUUUGCUGUUGCUUUUUGUUCUCUUUCGCAAAAUAGGGGAAUAGUGACUUGAGGACCGUGCUUUCUGCUGUGUGCCAAAGAACCACAAUAUAUGUGAUCAUUUAACAUACGGGUGUUACGUUCACUCCUGCUGUAAAAGGAGGCCAUGGUAUUUCCUGACCCCGAAAGCAAGAUGAGGAAACUGAGAUCUA